UAAAAAUGAAUAAUCAUAAAUGGUUUCGGCCCAUUAGUCGGUACUUAAUAAAUUGCCUUA
rnacentral:tRNA from 1 species